rnacentral:rRNA from 1 species
UGCGUAGGCGGUUCGUUAAGUUGGAUGUGAAAACUCUGGGCUCAACCCAGAGCCUGCAUCCAAAACUGGCGGGCUAGAGUUCUGGAGGGGGUAGCGGAAUUCCUGGUGUAGCGGUGAAAUGCGUAGAUAUCAGGAGGAACACCGGUGGCGAAGGCGGCUACCUGGACAGAAACUGACGCUGAGGCACGAAAGCUAGGGGAGCAAACA